CUGUGUUGGAAUAUCCAGAUACAAUGGUUCUGAUUCUCUUCUCUAUUCAAAUAAUAAUUCUUUUUUCAGGAGCAGUACCAGCUGCCUUGCAGUGUGACUAAGACCCCAAGGGAAGACUUGCUGCAAAAAGCCUACAGUAUAAAAUACCUGCCAGCAAAAUUUCCCAUCCUUCUGGCUGUUGUUGUCAUUUGUGUUUCGUAGAUGGUUGGAUGAAGAUAACUCACAACAGCGUUAUUCCUGUAACUGCAGCAGGCAGCAAAAUUAAGAUCUGAGGGAAUUUCAGUGUAUAACCUCAAAUUCUGCUUCCCUUGAGUAUUUCAUGCAUGUUACAUUGAAAGUGAAGAAGGAAGGACAAGGUGAAUGUGACUUUAUGUAAAUCUGUUGAAAAUGUGGCUUGAGUAUUCACAAAAAGGCUUUUUAUGCAUUAUUUAUUCCUCCAUAGUUAAAUAUAUGAUGCUCACUAACUAUGGCUGGUAAACGUGCACCUGCAGAAAGGAGUCUGGUGAGAAUAUGAUAAAGGUCUUGCUUGGCUAAAGCACAAAUUACCACUAGACUUGGGUGCAGAAAUUAAUCUUGAGAUGAUGAUGAUUCACUUGGGGGAACUGUGAUGGGUUUGUAAUAUGAGUUAUAGCAAUUUGUAGUUAUUGCAUAAAUGCAAAUAUUUAGAUGGAGUGUUCAUGAUUGCCACAACAGGAAAAAGCAAUGUUAGAGAAAGGAUUUUUUUCUUCUGACUUAUGUAUGUAACCCUUGUCCAAGACACUCUGUACAUUCCAUGGAGAGACACAGACACUUUCAGGAAGUGAUUCAUCUCGGGUUUAGGUGUCUAAAAUAAGGCAGAUGGAAGAGCCUAUUUCUCUCCACAGAAGAACUUCUAGGCUGAAUCGCAUUGUAACAAGCAGGCCCAGUAGUAAAAACAGUAUGACCACCUGCAAGCAAACACGGUUCAUGUCUUAGCACCCUGCCACCAGUAUAGUCAAACACAAAGUGAUAGUGUCUGACUGUAGAACAAAUUCUCUUUCAGCUGCAGCAGAAGUAGCUCAUCUGAUAAAUCAGUCAUAAUCAUGCUCAAAUGUGUAGUCAAAUUUAUACAACACAGAACAUAGUAUUCCAGUCUGUCAGGAAUUAACCCUCCCCAUGCAAAAAAUGUGAGUUUGCAUCUGUGAAGUUUGUAUUAAGUUAAGAACAAUUUUGGCGUGGCUGUAAAUUCAGAUUUUCUUUUUUUUUCACUGUUGAGAUUUAGGAUUUGAUUUUGCAGAGAUGCAGAACAUUUUCUGGACGCUCAGUUCCCUGACUACUUUGAAGGACACGAUGCCUUGUGAGAUCAAGGCCUUGCACCAUGUAGAAUGUCUUUAUCUGAAUUGCUGUGUUCCUUAGGUGUGUAAAAUUUUGAAAUGCCUCCUAAAACUAUCACUUACCCUCCACUACUGCUUCCAGCUGCCAGACAGCAAAGAGUCAGGUGUCUAAGCUUGGCUGAUUGGCCAGGCUCCAUCUAUAAUUGAUGGAGACAAGCACUUCUGAGGGGAGAUUCAUCUGGUCUAUGGAGACUGUGAAUCACACAUUUCCUAUCUCUUGCUCCUGGCUAUUUGUUGGCACCCCUGACUCACUUCACGGCACCUUUUGGUUGCUGUUUGUGGC